GAUGCACUAUGUUGACUACUCCAUGAUGUACCACCUGAUAAGGGGGCAGUCCGUCAUCAAGCUCUACAUCAUCUACAACAUGCUGGAGGUAGCUGAUCGUCUGUUUUCAUCUUUUGGACAAGAUAUAUUAGAUGCUCUCUAUUGGACAGCAACAGAGCCUAAAGAAAGAAAAAGAGCCCACAUUGGGGUGAUUCCUCACUUUUUCAUGGCUGUUCUCUAUGUCUUUUUCCAUGCAAUUCUUAUAAUGGUUCAAGCAACAACUCUCAAUGUAGCUUUUAACUCACACAACAAGUCUUUGCUUACUAUCAUGAUGUCUAAUAAUUUUGUUGAAAUUAAAGGAAGUGUUUUCAAGAAGUUUGAAAAGAACAAUCUCUUUCAAAUGUCAAAUAGCGAUAUUAAGGAACGAUUCACAAAUUAUGUACUUUUACUGAUAGUUUGUCUAAGAAACAUGGAACAGUUUUCUUGGAAUCCAGGUAACUCACUCUUAACAAAACAGUGUCUUAUAAUUUUACUUCUAAGCCAAAAUCAUUCUUUUACAUGGAAUAAAAUGAAUAUUGCAGAAAACUUCAAAAGACUUUGGCUGUUUUACUGUUUGGGUAUUGGAGAAACAAUCAUCUGUCACAUAAUGACCUUCAGUCAACAAUAGACCACAUAUAC
rnacentral:sRNA from 1 species